GUUUGUUUUUAUGUUUGGUUAUAAUAAAAACAAUUUUAGACUAAUCUGAGGGGUUAGUCUAUACUUUUGUGGAAUACAAAUUUAUUAUUCUUAUAAA